CUACGGGACGCAGCAGGCGAGAAAACUUUGCAAUGUGCGAAAGCACGACAAGGUUAAUCCGAGUGGUUUCUGCUAAAGGAACCUUUUGACAGUCCUAGAAACACUGUUGAAUAAGGGGUGGGCAAGUUCUGGUGUCAGCCGGCCGCGGUAAAACCAGCACCUCAAGUGGUCAGGAUGAUUAUUGGGCCUAAAGCAUCCGUAGCCGGCUCUGUAAGUUUUCGGUUAAAUCUGUACGCUCAACGUACAGGCUGCCGGGAAUACUGCAGAGCUAGGGAGUGGGAGAGGUAGACGGUACUCGGUAGGAAGGGGUAAAAUCCUUUGAUCUAUUGACGACCACCUGUGGCGAAGGCGGUCUACCAGAACACGUCCGACGGUGAGGGAUGAAAGCUGGGGGAGCAAACCGGAUUAGAUACCCUCGUAGUC
rnacentral:rRNA from 1 species